rnacentral:rRNA from 1 species
UGGGGAAUUUUGGACAAUGGGGGAAACCCUGAUCCAGCCAUCCCGCGUGUGCGAUGAAGGCCUUCGGGUUGUAAAGCACUUUUGGCAGGAAAGAAACGUCAUGGGUUAAUACCCCGUGAAACUGACGGUACCUGCAGAAUAAGCACCGGCUAACUACGUGCCAGCAGCCGCGGUAAUACGUAGGGUGCAAGCGUUAAUCGGAAUUACUGGGCGUAAAGCGUGCGCAGGCGGUUCGGAAAGAAAGAUGUGAAAUCCCAGAGCUCAACUUUGGAACUGCAUUUUUAACUACCGGGCUAGAGUGAGUCAGAGGGGGAUGGAAUUCCGCGUGUAGCAGUGAAAUGCGUAGAUAUGCGGAGGAACACCGAUGGCGAAGGCAGCCUCCUGGGAUAACACUGACGCUCAUGCACGAAAGCGUGGGGAGCAAACAGG